GGGAUUAGACACACUGAUUGGCUAAGCCUGAGUCAUGUGCUAACUCCAGAAGCUACAAAUUGGAUGAGAUCCAGAAGAAUCACAUGAACUGAGAGGAGGGGAAGAGAGUUUCUUCAAAGGAACCAUAGGUGAAAUGAAUGACAGGGAGGAGGAGGAGCCGGUAACAUACAUUUGUUACUUGGAAAAUGGGAAGUAUUUUUCUUUUCUCAUCUGACAAGAGCAAAUGCCAUUCAUUUUCUGCCAUCAUGGCAAGGAAAAUGCAUUUAAAAGACACAAAGCCACCUCACCACCUUGUGCAGAUACCAAGAAAAGGCCUAGUGAAAACAUAAGAAGAAGAUGGCUCUAUGCAAACCAGGAAGAGGACUCUCACCCAAAACUGAAUCUGCCAGCACUUGGAACUUUGACUUCUCAGCCUCCAGAACUGUGAGAAA
rnacentral:lncRNA from 10 species